CACAACAAAAGGUCUAUCACAGUGUUAUGGUAUUAUCAAAACAUUAUGAUGAUAAAAAUAACUUUCUGUAAUAAUGUUGAAGAUAUGAGUGCUAGAAGGAGGUUCAGAGAGAAAAAUCAAAGCAUUAUAGAUAAUAGUGGGACAACACAGUGGCAUAUGUAGGGCAGAGUAGAGAAAUAUCUGGGAGUGAAGUUGGUACCAGUUUAAAAGGACAUGGUCCCAUUCCCUAGAAUUCCCAUAGAAAACUGAGACAAAUGCUUCAA
rnacentral:lncRNA from 1 species